AAUCAGUGUGUGUGUUAGUGGAAGCGUCUGGAAAGGCGCGCGAUACAGGGUGACAGCCCCGUACACAAAAAUGCACAUGCUGUGAGCUCGAUGAGUAGGGCGGGACACGUGGUAUCCUGUCUGAAUAUGGGGGGACCAUCCUCCAAGGCUAAAUACUCCUGACUGACCGAUAGUGAACCAGUACCGUGAGGGAAAGGCGAAAAGAACCCCGGCGAGGGGAGUGAAAAAGAACCUGAAACCGUGUACGUACAAGCAGUGGGAGCACAGAGCAAUCUGUGUGACUGCGUACCUUUUGUAUAAUGGGUCAGCGACUUAUAUUCUGUAGCAAGGUUAACCGAAUAGGGGAGCCGAAGGGAAACCGAGUCUUAACUGGGCGUUAAGUUGCAGGGUAUAGACCCGAAACCCGGUGAUCUAGCCAUGGGCAGGUUGAAGGUUGGGUAACACUAACUGGAGGACCGAACCGACUAAUGUUGAAAAAUUAGCGGAUGACUUGUGGCUGGGGGUGAAAGGCCAAUCAAACCGGGAGAUAGCUGGUUCUCCCCGAAAGCUAUUUAGGUAGCGCCUCGUGAAUUCAUCUCCGGGGGUAGAGCACUGUUUCGGCAAGGGGGUCAUCCCGACUUACCAACCCGAUGCAAACUGCGAAUACCGGAGAAUGUUAUCACGGGAGACACACGGCGGGUGCUAACGUCCGUCGUGAAGAGGGAAACAACCCAGACCGCCAGCUAAGGUCCCAAAGUCAUGGUUAAGUGGGAAACGAUGUGGGAAGGCCCAGACAGCCAGGAUGUUGGCUUAGAAGCAGCCAUCAUUUAAAGAAAGCGUAAUAGCUCACUGGUCGAGUCGGCCUGCGCGGAAGAUGUAACGGGGCUAAACCAUGCAC
rnacentral:rRNA from 1 species